CUUCCUUGACAACUCUGUUGCUGUGGUAACACUGUGCACCUUGGGGAUACCUCUUUUGUUUUGUCCUGAUAUGUUUGCUGCCUUCCCCUUCCUUCUCUUUAACUGCCACCGAUUCAUUAUCCCCUUCAAAGAAGUAUCUCUCAAGUGGUCAGGACCCCCAUGGACCCUCACAGAGCAGCUGGAUCAUUCUCAGCACUGCAGUAACACUGAUGUGGUGGUUGUGUGUUGUGCUGCUACGAGUGGAUCAGACACAGCAGUGCUGCUGGACAUUGCUGCUAGAGGCUGCGCUCAGUGGCCAAAAAGGAAAGAGUCCAAGUUUUGAUGCAACUACCAGGGUCUCCACACGGGGGCGCCAGAGACCGGCGCACUGACGCUCGCCCGGAUUUCGCUCCUGGGGGCGUUAGCAGCUUGGAGGUUGCGGAGGCGCUGCUGGGUCUGCGGGGCUACAGAGGCGCUGCGGCCGCAGCAGUGCUGGCACGCCGGGCUGCCGGAGAGCAUCGCCCGCUGCAUGAACUCAUUCACCCGGAGACCUGCUUCCCGGUCCAGGCCGGUGUGAGGGAGCAGCGCCGAGACUCGCUGCAGACACGCUGUAUAGCCUUCUCUGUAGCUGUCUGUAGAACCUGAGAGGAGAAGGAAAGAAAGAAAGAGACCGGUUUAGUUUUUAGCUUUUAGUUUUUAGUUAAAAGAUGUUUACGAAGAAACUACUAGGCUCCUGAGAGAGAGAGCCAAAGCUGAGGCUUAAGAUCAGGCUUUUUACUCAGUUAUUAGUCUUAGUACUCAGGGUAUUACAGCCUGCGGUAUUCAGCAGCUGCACUCUUUACACGGUCCACUGGUUCUUUAGUAGAGGGAGUGGUUCUAUCAAGAACCGCGAAUUCUGGUUGAAAUGGUUCUUCAGACUGGCGGAGAGCGUGUUGUAUGGGGUUCUAUACUGAGCCUUUUUGGCAGUGGUUCUGCAUAGAACCAAAAGAGGUACUGCUAUUGUGAUCAUGCCAAGCAUGUAACAAUAGAAGAGCCAACUCUGGUGCUCAAAGAGGUUCUAUAAGGAACCAUAAAGCCACGACACAGUCCCCUUCAACCUCAAGAACCACUUUACCACGCAGAGAACCAUUUAAGCAUGAAAUGCUUUAAUACAGAACUCGUGGGUUCGUAAUGGGACCAUUCCCUUUGCUAAAGAACCCUUGAAGAACCCUCGUUUUAAGGAGCGUAAGCCUGAAGCCAAGUUUGGAAGUGAGGAGCGUCGCCCCGGUUCCUGCUAAGGGAAUAACGGGAAGAAGAUGAGCACCUUUUGUCGGAGUGGCUGGGAUGUCAGUCAGGAACCUGACGGUCAUUUCGAGUAUGUCAGCUUUCUCCAGCUUCGAGUAGCGGCAUUUCUGAAACCACAAAAAAAACACAAGCGACGGUUAGCUCGGCUGGGAACUACAUUACCCACAAUUCGCAGCGGCUGCGAAUAUAGUUUAGAAAGGCAUCGCAAACUGUCGCCAGCGUUAGCAGCACAGCCUGUAUCCGUGUAGUACUGCCGCCGCAGACUGCGCAGGAAAUUCAACUCCAGCUCACCUCUUUU